rnacentral:tRNA from 1 species
GGGAAUGUGGCUUAGCAGUAGAGUGCUUGCCUAACAAGCAAGCCCUGGGUUCAAUUCCUCAGUGCCA